rnacentral:snRNA from 1 species
AGCUUUGUGCAGUGGCAGUAUCAUAGCCAGUGAGGUUUAUCCAAGGUGCAGUUAUUGCUAAUUGGAAAAGAUAUCAUUUGUGUUUAGAUACAUGUUUGCAGAAAUAUACAAGAAGCCAUCUUUUAAAAAUG